rnacentral:rRNA from 1 species
UUUAUAAUAUUAUUAUAAAUAAAACCUGCUCAAUGAAAUUUCAAUAGCCGCAGAUAUCCUGUGCUAAGGUAGCAUAAUCAUUUGUUUUUUAAUUGAAAACUAGAAUGAAAGGUCAAACGUUUUAAUUUCUCUAUUAUUAAUACCUAUUAAAUUUUUAUUAAAUAUUAAAAUAUAUUUAUUUUAUAAAUAGACGACAAGACCCUAUUGAACUUUACUCUAGUUUAGCUGGGGCAGCUGUUUAAUUAAUAUUUUAAUUAAAAGAUUUUCUAUAAAUAGCCAAUACAAUUGAUUUUUAAAUAAGUUACCAUAGGGAUAACAGCGUAAUAUUAUUUUGAAGUUCAUAUUUAAAAUAGUGUUUGCGACCUCGAUGUUGAAUUAUUUCUCUUUAUAUUAAUGCAAUAAUUAUAAAUAGUGGGUCUGUUCGACUCUUAAUAAAUUACA